UGGAAACUGAACCAUGCCCACGGUAGACAUAACACAGAGACCUCCUCCAGAGCGUGGUCCCCUUUGGUGGGGAGCGUAAGGCAGGGCUGGCACAGGAGAACUUGGGCUGGCUCCGUCAGCUUGGUGCUUCCACCCAGCAACAUCUCUCCAUGUGGGAACAGAAAAAUAUUAACUCAGGAACCCAUGCCCAUUAGUGAAUCGCUGUGUCUGCAACUUUACGCUCAUUAGAGUUUUAAUAAACUCCUGCCUGUUUUUAUAGGGAUUUUUUUCCACCACCUUUGAACUACUUGAAAACAAUAAAGUGCCCUCUUCACACAGGUUGGCCCAAUGGGAAGACUGACCUUAUUUCCACUCUCCUCCUGAGAGUGAUGAUGCGGCCCCACGAGCCAGGGACACUAUGAUCAAAUGAGAGAUGGACUUCAGCCUCUGCGGUGACCCCCGCAGGAAGCAACUGGACAUUUCCUCUGCACAUUGUCUUUUGCAAAGAUACAAGGAGGCUUAAGCCUGACAGACGCACCUCCUGCCAUCCUGCACUCCCACCCUGGUCGGCGAUGCCCUGAGGGAAGGGACCGUCGCUCUGCAUGUCUGUGCUUACUCACCCCACCCACACGUGGGGCCUGUGAUUCCCACGUCCCCCUGGAGGAAGCUGCCUCUUUGGUGAGUAAGAUAAGAUUCCAGUUGGUUGGCAUCACGUGGGGCGUUCCUGCCCUUUGUGUUCAUAUAUGCUUUAGUGUCAUGGUUCCUGCUGGUCUAGAGAAAAAGUUUAGAAGUAAAACACAGAACCUGGGGUAGCCCCAGACCCACCAUUUUUUAAAGAAAAACUGGUGCGAGAACUUGUUUUUCAAACUAGAAAAUGCCGUACAAAUAAAGAGAGGUGAACGCAGAACUACUGGUUGUCG
ensembl:lncRNA